CCUGUACUCAAAAAUCCUGAAAACAAAUAGACUCGAGAUUAUUUUCCUUUCUUGCUAUACAACAUUAACAUCGUACCUUUCUCUCAGAUUUCUCAUUUCAUAUUGACACGCCGAGCCUCUUCUAAAACCACCUCCGUGGAUCCACACCAGUACAGGAUAACCACCGCUGGAAUCCGGAAGCGAUGGGGUGAAGAUGUUCAGAAAGAGGCAAUCUUCGCUACCAAUAAUUCUACCGGUUUCAUUGCGGCUGGGCUGAGGGCAAGGAGGUCCCCACGUUGUGGCGUUGUAUUCACCUUCGAGAUAAACGGGCGAGGCUCGCUAAAAAUUAUUUUUUCUUAUUAAAUAAGGAUGUUAAUUUAACAAUGAUAUUAGGUGAUACAAAAGUGACUAAUGUAUUAAUAGCGAUUAUUAAAAUUAUUUAACAUUUGUAUUUUAGUAUGAAAAUAUAUAGAAAAGAUAUAUAUAUAGCAAAUGUUUAAAAAAAUUGCAUAGAAAAAUGUUUAAUUAUUUGAUUAGCUUUAAUUGGCGAGUUAAUAUUUUUGAAAUAAUUUAAUUUUUGCAAUAAGUGAUGUUUUUAUUCCGACGUUUCCUUUUACUUUUCGGACAGAACUGAUAACGUAUAUCAAGUUUAUUAAAUUCGGCCGUUGUGACAGGAUAUACUGAGAGAUAAAGUAAUAUUCCGUUUAACCUGAU